UUCCUCCGUGCCUAACGAGAACGAAUAGUCGUUUUCGGAUAAAGGUGGUUCCAAGGACAGCAAGUGUUCUCCAAAAUCGAAAAAAUUUAGAUCUGUAACAAAAGAAAGAGAAGAUAGUGGGCUUUCUUUGUCCACUCUUAUGUAACAUCCUCUGUCUUUAAAUUCCAUUUAAUUUUCUUUUCUAACUUGUAGUGUUUAAAAUGCUUCAAAUUGCAGGUUAAUGUCAAGUAUUUAUAAGCAGGUUAUUUUAUUAUUUCUGUGUGAAUCUUUAAUUCAAAUUAGUUAAUAAAUAUUUAAAGCGUACAUUAUUUUGUGAAUUAUUAAAUGCUUUAUAAACUAUUGAAUAUGAUAAACAGCCAUUGGAUGUUAACUUAAAGAACGGGUACAAAGUUAAAAAGUGAUGCAUCAUAGGUCACAGAAGAGGAAGCAGUUAAGAGCAAAUUACUGCACAGCGAACAAAUGCUAAAAAGUAAAAAAAGAACCAGGCACACUGAAUGGGUGAAGCAUUAUUUCAUUGUAAAUAAACAGUACAGUUAAAGAACUGCAGAAAUAAAACAAAAAGUUGGAAUUUGCCACCACCCAUUGGUCCAUAGUCAUCAGAUUCACAUAACAGGGCGUCCCUCAUUCCUGCUAAACUGGUA